UACGUAGGGCGCAAGCGUUGUCCGGAAUUAUUGGGCGUAAAGAGCUCGUAGGCGGCUUGUCACGUCGGGUGUGAAAGCCCGGGGCUUAACCCCGGGUCUGCAUUCGAUACGGGCUGGCUGGAGUGUGGUAGGGGAGAUCGGAAUUCCUGGUGUAGCGGUGAAAUGCGCAGAUAUCCGGAGGAACACCAAUGGCGAAGGCAAUGCCCUGGCCGACGGCUGACGCUCAGGCGCGAAAGCGUGGGGAGCAAACAGG
rnacentral:rRNA from 1 species